rnacentral:lncRNA from 1 species
GGAGGAAGCCUCGGUUCCCCUAUCUUCUCCUUGACAGGGAACCAGGGCCAGGGUUGGAAGCCUGCAGAGAUACGCUACCUUGGCUCAGAUAACAUGCAGUUUGUGAUCGUUGGCUUCUACGGUGAGACCCCUGAGACAGACAUCGCUAUAGACGCUGUAUGCAUCACAGAAUGCACAGCUCCUCCACCAACUACACCAAAACCUCCAACACCGGGACCAACUACAUCAGCACCAGGAACAACUACUCCCAAACCCUCAACUCCCAAGCCUUCUACACCAAAACCACCAACCACAAAACCACCAGUGACGUGCCCUCCCAAUGCUGAGUAUAUAGAGUGUGGCCCUGCCUGCAUCCCCAGCUGUAAGGAACCCUCACCAACUGCACUGGCUCCUGUAUCAGCGCGUGUUUCUGUAAGCCAGGCUUUGUGUUCAAAGGCAGACGCUGUGUCCCCAUAGAAACAUGUGGCUGUCUGGAGGAGGUGACUACUAUGAGGUACGAGACCAUCUGGGAUUGUUAGUCUGUGGUUAAGAAUGUACUGUGUGAUUGAAUAUGACACAAUAUAAUGUGAUGUACAAUAUUGUGAAUGAUUUACAAUACGGC